rfam:Myotis davidii contig161853, whole genome shotgun sequence.
GGUGGUUCUCGGGUGAUGCACCCCAAAAUUGGGCUCCCUCCUCUCUGGUUCCAGGGUGUGUCACCCAAGAACCACC